ensembl:lncRNA
CUCUGUCUGAUCCUGGAGCCUUUUACAUUCUCAUUAAAGUGCAUUCAAUGGCUCUGUGUUCUAGAGAUCAGCGUGAGGGAAUCUCAAAAGAGAGAGGUUUUUUUUUUUAUCACUAUCAGCCGAGUGUUAUCAGUUACACAUGUUACCGCUGGUAGUGCUUUACAGCGUGAAGCAGAUUAAAAGCUACGAGCAAACUGCAUUGCUACUGAUAGAAAAGAAAUGUAAAAAUCAUUAUCUCUCACAGCGAUUUCCCGUUUGGAUUGCGGACGCUUCCUUCAUUCAAACUCAGUGUGCAUGUAGAAUGAGAGUCUCCUCAUUAACCAAAAUAUUUUGGGAACCACAUGACUGACAGGAAGUGUUCAUGAGGCUACAUGACACAUAGAUAUUCCCUACCAGACAACGGGCAUAAACCUACAUGUUUACAAAAGGUUUAUUCCAAUAUACAGUACAUCAGCUGUCAAAGUCAAACAUCAAAACAUAGAAAAAUAUAUUACACAUACAUAAGUGUUAUUGUAGUUUUGGUUUAUUAUGGUGAUAUUGUCAUAUGUUUUCAUAAAUAUAUAUAUAUAUAUUUUUUAAAAUUGAUAUAGAUUUUCAGAAAUAUUAAACAUCUAAUAUCUAAAAAUAAAAAGCAGAAAGAUAAACUGACCUUUAAAGGUUAUCACUGAGCUGUAACAUCAGUCUGGAGAUGAUAUAACACAACUUUAAGUUAGUUGUGUUGUGUUAUGGUAUGAUAAGGUGUGUUGUACUGUAGUUUGGUAUGGUAAGGUGUGCUGUGUGGUGUUAUGGUAUGGUAAGGUGUGCUGUGCUGUAUUGUGUUAUGAUAUGAUAUGGUAAGGUGUGCUGUGCUGUGUUGUGUUAUGGUUUGGUACGGUAAGGUGUGUUGUGUUGUGGUUUGGUGUGUUGUGUUAUGGUAUGGUAAGGUGUGCUGUGUUGUGUUGUGGUAUGGUAAGGUGUGUUGUAUUGUGUUGUGUUAUGAUACGGUAAAGUGUGUUGUGUUGUGUUAUGAUAUGGUAAGGCAUGCUGUGUUGUGUGAUGGUAUGGUAAGGUGUGGUAAGGUGUGGUAAGGUGUGCUGUGCUGUGUUGUGUUAUGAUAUGAUAUGGUAAGGUGUGUUGUGCUGUGUUGUGUUGUGGUAUGGUAAGGUGUGCUGUGUUGUGCUAUGUUGUGUUGUGGUAUGGUAAGGUGUACUAUGCUGUGUUGUGUUAUGAUAUGGUAAGGUGUGCUGUGUUGUGUUAUGAUAUGAUAUGGUAAGGUAUGUUGUGCUGUGUUGUGUUGUGGUAUGGUAAGGUGUGCUGUGUUGUGUUGUGGUAUGGUAAGGUGUGCUGUGUUGUGUUGUGGUAUGGUAAGGUGUGCUGUGUUGUGUUGUGGUAUGGUAAGGUGUUCUGUGUUGUGUUGUGGUAUGGUAAGGUGUGCUGUGUUGUGUUGUGGUAUGGUAAGGUGUGCUGUGUUGUGGUAUGGUAAGGUGUGCUGUGUUGUGUUGUGGUAUGGUAAGGUGUGCUGUGUUGUGUUGUGGUAUGGUAAGGUGUGCUGGGUUGUGUUGUGGUAUGGUAAGGUGUUCUGGGUUGUGUUGUGGUAUGGUAUGUGUUAACCUGGCAUUAAAAUAGACAAA